GGGCCCGCACAAGCGGAGGAGCAUGUGGUUUAAUUCGAUGAUACGCGAGGAACCUUACCUGGGCUUGAACGUGUGAUGCAAUACCGGGAAACUGGUAGUCCCUUCGGGGCGUCAUGCGAGGUGCUGCAUGGUUGUCGUCAGCUCGUGCCGUGAGGUGUUAGGUUAAGUCCUGUAACGAGCGCAACCCCUAUACUUAGUUACCAGCACGUAGCGGUGGGGACUCUAAGUAAACUGCCUGCGCAAGCAGAGAGGAAGGUGGGGAUGACGUCAAAUCAGCACGGCCCUUACGUCCAGGGCCACACACGUGCUACAAUGGCCGAUACAGAGGGCAGCUACCUGGUGACAGGAUGCGAAUCUCAAAAGUCGGUCUCAGUUCGGAUCGGAGUCUGCAACUCGACUCCGUGAAGUUGGAUUCGCUAGUAAUCGCGCAUCAGCCAUGGCGCGGUGAAUACGUUCCCGGGCCUU
rnacentral:rRNA from 1 species